rnacentral:rRNA from 1 species
ACGGGAGGCAGCAGUGAGGAAUAUUGGUCAAUGGGCGAAAGCCUGAACCAGCCAAGUAGCGUGAGGGAUGACUGCCCUAUGGGUUGUAAACCUCUUUUGUUGGGGAAUAAAGUUAGCCACGUGUGGCUAUUUGUAUGUACCCUUCGAAUAAGCAUCGGCUAAUUCCGUGCCAGCAGCCGCGGUAAUACGGAAGAUGCGAGCGUUAUCCGGAUUUAUUGGGUUUAAAGGGAGCGUAGGCGGUCUGUUAAGUCAGCGGUUAAAUGUCAGUGCCCAACAUUGGCAUGCCGUUGAUACUGGCGGACUUGAAUACACACAAGGAAGGUGGAAUUCGUCGUGUAGCGGUGAAAUGCUUAGAUAUGACGAAGAACUCCGAUUGCGAAGGCAGCCUUCUGGGGUGCGAUUGACGCUGAGGCUCGAAAGCGCGGGUAUCAAACAGGAUUAGAUACCCUGGUA